GAGUAAGACGUGGGUGACCUACCUUCCAGUGAGGGAUACCGGCGAGAAAUCGCCGACAAGCCCGCAUGGGCAGCUCUUGUGCAAGCAAGAGCUGCAAAGGCUCUUUUCUCGCAAGAGGAAGAGUCGCUGGGAGAUGGGCCCGCGGCCGAUUAGGCUAGUUGGUGGGGUAAAAGCCUACCAAGGCGACGAUCGGUAGCUGGUCUGAGAGGACGAGCAGCCACACUGGGAUUGAGAACAGCCCAGACUCCUACGGGGGGCAGCAGUGAGGAAUUUUCCGCAAUGGGCGAAAGCCUGACGGAGCAACGCCGCGUGCAGGAAGACGCUUUUCGGAGUGUAAACUGCUUUUCUCUGGGAAGAACGAGGACGGUACCAGAGGAAGAAGCCCCGGCUAACUACGUGCCAGCAGCCGCGGUAAUACGUAGGGGGCAAGCGUUGUCCGGAUUUAUUGGGCGUAAAGGGCCCGCAGGCGGUCGGGUCAGUGCGGGGUUACAGCUCCUGGCUUAACUGGGAGAGCGCCUCGCAGACGACCAGACUGGAGGACUUCAGAGGGACACAGAAUUCCGGGUGGAGUGGUGAAAUGC
rnacentral:rRNA from 1 species